CUGAACCCAGCUGCUUCUCAUCGUGGGUCAAAUUGUGCUGGACUCCUUUGUUGCUCCUCCGACUUCUGGAUUGACCUGUCCUGUUGUUUGCUGGCAGGAAGCUGCACUGCGAAGGUGGAAUUGGGGAUUUGUUUACCUGGCAGCGUGGUAAUUCACCAGUCACAGCCAUCUGACGAGCCUCUGACCAGCUUUCAACAUGGAGUGACACUCGUUGCUGUUUUGCCUAGAAAGAAAUGUUUUAAAAAGACUUAUCUGAACUUUCCCCUGCUGUCAGGGGCAUCUGUGGCACAAUUAAUGGGAUGCAGUGCAAUAUUGUAGUGUCAUUGUAUCACUGUUGAUUAUAUGGAUCUAAUUUUGUUUCAUUUAGGGACUGAGGCUUCUGUGGUGGCGGUGGUGACCCUUGGUGGCGGUGUUUUUGUUGUGUUUUGGAGCUCCCUUUCCUUGUUUGCUGUGUUUUGUAGUGUCCAGGGUGGUCCCUUUUCUUCACCAGAUGUUGCUCCUCUUCUCACCACCUUCCCUU